CAGAAUGCUUCUCUCCAUCCUCCACAUAUGCUUCCUUCUUUCCUUUUGACAAAGCCAUUUCUGACGCACGGAGUAAAAGAGCUUUUCAGGCUGACCCGCACCCCGUUUAUUGAAGAAGAUGGUGUGACUCAUAAUUGGUGCCUGCCGUUAUGUGGCUAGGAAAAUAGCAUCGUUCCUACGGCAUGAGGAUGUGGGAGAGACCAUGUUGGCUUGCAAGAACCGGACAACUCUAGCUGGUAUCCCAAAAAAUCCAGCAGGGUCUGAAUCCAUUCCUUGCUUAGCCAGCGAAAAAUGUCCUCAUGCGGUUACGCCCAAAGUCAAACCCCAGGAACCAAACUCCUGAUGAAAUAAAAUAGAAAGGACAGCAGAGCAGAAAAUGACGGUUUGUUUGACAAAAUCCUGCGGAUGCAGGAAGUGAACAGACCUGAGCAUCCCUUAUUCUGUCGUCCUCUCGUUGUUCCGCUAUGAAAAUGAAUUUAAAUAAAGAAGUGUUUCGUGCUUUAAAAAAAAAAAAGAAUGAGCGUUUAACAAAAGAUGAUUUGGCCGCUGACGAGGGGGGUGAACUUGCAAGCCUGUCGCUAUGUGGCUAGCAGAAUAGCAUCGCUCCUGCGCCAAGGGGAUCUGGCCGAGAGCAUGUUGGCUUCCAAGAACAAGACAUGACGAACUGGCAUCCCCAAAAAGCCAGCAGGGUCUCCAUCCAUUCCUUACUCGGCCAGCGAAAAAUAUCCUCAUGCGGCUACUUCCAAAGAUGGGACUCAGGAACCAAAGUCAUGAUGAAAUAAAAUAAAAAAGGACAGCAAAGCGGAAAAUGACGGCUUGUUUGACAAAAUCCUGCAGAUGCAGGAAGUGAACAGACCUGAGAAUCCCUUAUUCUGUCCUCUUGUUGUCCCAGUAUGAAAAUAAACUUAAAUAAAGAAGUGUUUUAUGCAUUUAAAAGAAA